GUGCACUGUUCGUAACCUUCUGACAGUCCAUUUUCUGACUUUGGGUUCCAUUCCAGUGCUACAUUAAUCCCACUAGAACGAAUGGUCAUCUGAUUUUGCUGAAGUUUGGCUAUUUCCAAAGUUGGGAACAUGU